rnacentral:rRNA from 1 species
UACGGAGGGUGCGAGCGUUGUCCGGAAUCAUUGGGCGUAAAGGGCGCGUAGGUGGCGGGACAAGCGUGCGGUGAAAGCCUGGGGCUCAACCCCGGGUCGGCCGUGCGAACUGUUUUGCUUGAGCACUGUAGAGGCAGGCGGAAUUCCGGGUGUAGCGGUGGAAUGCGUAGAGAUCCGGAAGAACACCGGUGGCGAAGGCGGCCUGCUGGGCAGUAGCUGACACUGAGGAGCGAAAGCGUGGGGAGCGAACAGG